CACGCUGUAAACGAUGAGUGCUAGGUGUCGGUAGUCAAAUAUCGGUGCCGUAGUUAACGCAAUAAGCACUCCGCCUGGGGAGUACGUGCGCAAGCAUGAAACUCAAAGGAAUUGACGGGGACCCGCACAAGCAGCGGAGCAUGUGGUUUAAUUCGAAGCAACGCGAAGAACCUUACCAGGGCUUGACAUCCUCGGACGACACUAGAGAUAGUGUUUUCUCUUCGGAGACUGAGAGACAGGUGG
rnacentral:rRNA from 1 species